rnacentral:lncRNA from 1 species
CCACAAACAAUAAAAUCUAUCUCUACCGCCACGCUCAUCGCGUUCCAAAAUCAUCAUUUCCAUCUUGGCUCAUCGCUGCACACGGCAGGAUAUCAUUCCUGUCUGAGCUCGUCAUUGAGCGCAGCGAGAUUUGAGCACCGUGCGCAACGAGAUCCGACCCGAUUGUUGUUGUGCGCUGCGAACUCAAGCUCCGUUCAGCAACUGAUAGUAGCGAUGGAUUCAAGUGGCUUCAGUUCGGCACCGGUGCUCUCAGGUUGAGAGGUGAGGCCGUGGAGAGGUUUGUCUGGUUGAGAGGUGAGAUUGUGAGACUAUAGAGAGAGAGAGAGAGAACAUUCCUGUCUGAGCUCGUCAUUGAGCGCAGCGAGAUUUGAGCACCGUGCGCAACGAGAUCCGACCCGAUUGUUGUUGUGCGCUGCGAACUCAAGCUCCGUUCAGCAACUGAUAGUAGCGAUGGAUUCAAGUGGCUUCAGUUCGGCACCGGUGCUCUCAGGUUGAGAGGUGAGGCCGUGGAGAGGUUUGUCU